rnacentral:rRNA from 1 species
UCUUCCGCAAUGGACGAAAGUCUGACGGAGCAACGCCGCGUGAGUGAUGAAGGUUUUCGUAUCGUAAAACUCUGUUGUUAGGGAAGAACAAGUACCGUUCGAAUAGGGCGGCACCUUGACGGUACCUAACCAGAAAGCCACGGCUAACUACGUGCCAGCAGUCGCGGUAAUAUGUCGGUGGCAAGCGUUGUCCGGAAUUAUUGGGCGUACAGCGCGCGCAGGCGGUUUCUUAAGUCUGAAGUGAAAGCCCCCGGCUCAACCGGGGAGGGUCAUUGGAAACUGGGGAACUUGAGUGCAGAAGAGGAGAGUGGAAUUCCACGUGUAGCGGUGAAAUGCGUAGAGAUGUGGAGGAACACCAGUGGCGAAGGCGACUCUCUGGUCUGUAACUGACGCUGAGACGCGAAAGCGUGGGGAGCGAACAG